AUUUCCUGUCUUUUUGCGCCAAGCCACGUUACGUGUGAACGAGAGACCGAGUGAGAUUAAGGUAUUGAAAGUUUGCAACGCUCAUUUUCUACAGUAAAUGUGACAUAUACUAUAGAAAAUGAGCGUUGCAAAAGUUUAGUGGAACGUGCCUUAAGUGCAUUGCACUUGUACAUUUGGAUUUUCAUGUUCUUCAGUCAUAAAAAUGGAUCUCGCCGAUACGAUCGAGGGAUUAUUUAUGCCUUUUAUAUUAAUAUAGACGAAAUUACUGGUGAUAAACCUAAACAUCCAAAAGCUCAAGCCAUGA